rnacentral:rRNA from 1 species
GACGAACGCUGGCGGCGUGCUUAACACAUGCAAGUCGAACGGAAAGGCCCUGCUUUUGUGGGGUGCUCGAGUGGCGAACGGGUGAGUAACACGUGAGUAACCUGCCCUUGACUUUGGGAUAACUUCAGGAAACUGGGGCUAAUACCGGAUAGGAGCUCCUGCUGCAUGGUGGGGGUUGGAAAGUUUCGGCGGUUGGGGAUGGACUCGCGGCUUAUCAGCUUGUUGGUGGGGUAGUGGCUUACCAAGGCUUUGACGGGUAGCCGGCCUGAGAGGGUGACCGGCCACAUUGGGACUGAGAUACGGACCAGACUCCUACGGGAGGCAGCAGUGGGGAAUAUUGCACAAUGGGCGGAAGUCUGAUGCAGCAACGCCGCGUGCGGGAUGACGGCCUUCGGGUUGUAAACCGAUUUCGCCUGUGACGAAGCGUGAGUGACGGUAAUGGGUAAAGAAGCACCGGCUAACUACGUG